rnacentral:lncRNA from 1 species
UCAGAGUCAAGGUGGAAUUGAUCCAAGCUCAUUUGUUAUUCAAAGUGAGAGUGAGAAUUUUCUCAUGAUAGUAAAGUCAAGGGACAGAAUCUGAGAAUAGGAAAGAAUUUCUAAAACUGACAACUUACUUGUAAGAAAGAGCUAAUGUGCCUUCAAAUGAGAUUUUUUUUCCUGAUUUCCAUUGGAGUUCUGCACCCAGAUUGGCUGGCUGUACUGAUUCCUUAUAUAACAGAAUACAUAGAGGGAGGGAUGGAACAGGAGGCCCUUGGAGGCUGGCCAGGCUGGAGGUAUUCAUACAAACCAACAUUUCCUGACUGAAUGCAAAUAGGACACUUCUUUGAAAUGAGGAGCGACAAAUUUUUAACCUUUCUAGAAUUCAUGACAGAAUACUGUUUUUUUUUUUUUUUUAACGCUGUCUCCAUUGAAAGUCAGUUACUGAAUGGUAGGACACAAUUCUUAUGAAUUUUGUAGAAAGACAAAUAAUAUUCUCAUCUACAACUGUGUGAAGAAAAAUAGAAAAAUACUUGCCAUGUGUUAAAUCCUUACACUAUGGAGAAUACUAUGCAAACUGCUUUCAACUGCCUGCGUUCAUUUAAGAAUCACAACAACUAUGUCAGCUGAGUUUGCUGCUGUGUUGAUUGCGCUGACUUACUUUGAGGAACUGGUAAACAAAAACAUUAUGCUGACACUUGGUAUUACGGUUUAAUGUUCUUGUUUCAUGGAUCCUAAUCCUCAGGAAGUGUUCAAAUUCUAAAUGAGCCUACUCAGUGCAGAGUACACCAACUGGAAAGAGAAGAAACGGAACUAAACUGCCAUUGUCUUCUUCUUCUGAAUUAACUAAGUUAAAUUAAUAAAUUUUGUAAAAGUCUUUGCUGUAUUAGGAAUUGUGAUCUUGCAAUGCGCAUUGCUCUGCAGAUAAAUCUCCUGCCAGAAGACAGACUUCUGCAUAAACAGAAAAGCCUGGUCUCCACAGACUUGGUUGCGGUCUUGGUGCAUUUUCGUCAUCAGUGGCUCUCUUCACCUAAAAAUGUUUUAAUAGCCUCAGAGUAAAAUGGAACAGCCUUUUAUUUUCUUUUUGCUAAGCUAAUGUUACAUCAUUAUAACAGGGACAUUCCCUCUUAUCCAGAAAUAUUUAUAAGAAAAGAAAAACAGCCUUUCAUAUAAGAGUUUCUGAAAAACCUAGAACUUUCAUUCAACGUCUGCUUUAAUUUGUGGUUUUGUACUCUUAAGGGGAAAUUGGUGGACAAAACCCACAAGAGAACUGAGAACAGCUGUAUGAAGAGGCAAUGCAGGUUAAUGAAGAGUGAAGAGAAGAGAACAGUGCGGAUUUCUAGAAGAAGAGGAAGGAAAUUAUUGUGAUAUGGGAGUUAAAAAUGGGAUCCAGAAAAACAGGGAGGAAAGGGGGAAGUGUGCCAGGUCUCAGAACCAGCAAAGGUUGCUAUGUAUAUUUCACUUCAGUUUAGGAGACUAACUUUAUAUGGAAGUAUAUUCUGGAAUUCUGAGAGCCAGAAAGGGAAUGUGCCAGGUGCCAGAAUCAGCUAAUAAACAUCAUAUAUCUUCUGCACUUCAAUCUAGAUGGUGCUUCUUCUCUCUCAGGUAUUUAUACAAGCCACCAUUUCCUGACUGAAUACAAAUAGCAAACUUCUUUGAAAUAAGGAGGGAUAAUUUUUCAACCCCUCCAGAUUUUUUGACAGAAUUCUAGGUUUUUAGUUUGC